rnacentral:rRNA from 1 species
UACAGAGGGUGCAAGCGUUAAUCGGAAUUACUGGGCGUAAAGCGUGCGUAGACGGUUACAUAAGUCGGGUGUGAAAGCCCCGGGCUCAACCUGGGAAUUGCAUUCGAGACUGCGUAGCUAGGGUACGGUAGAGGGAAGCGGAAUUUCCGGUGUAGCGGUGAAAUGCGUAGAUAUCGGAAGGAACACCAGUGGCGAAAGCGGCUUCCUGGACCAGUACCGACGUUCAGGCACGAAAGCGUGGGGAGCGAACGGG